rnacentral:rRNA from 1 species
CGGCUCAGUAACACGUGGACAACCUACCCUAUGGAGGGGGAUAACCCCGGGAAACUGGGGAUAAUACCCCAUAGACUAUAGAUGCUGGAAUGCUUUGUAGUUGAAAGGUCCGCCGCCAUAGGAUGGGUCUGCGGCCGAUUAGGUUGUUGUUGGGGUAACGGCCCAACAAGCCUGUAAUCGGUACGGGUUGUGGGAGCAAGAGCCCGGAGAUGGAUUCUGAGACACGAAUCCAGGCCCUACGGGGCGCAGCAGGCGCGAAAACUUUACAAUGCGGGAAACCGUGAUAAGGGAACUCCGAGUGCCCGUAAAAUCGGGCUGUCCAUCUGUUUAAAUAACAGGUGAAGAAAGGGCCGGGCAAGACCGGUGCCAGCCGCCGCGGUAAUACCGGCGGCUCGAGUGGUGGCCACUAUUACUGGGCUUAAAGCGUUCGUAGCUGGUCUGUUAAGUCUCUGGGGAAAUCUACUGGCUUAACCAAUAGGCGUCUCAGGGAUACUGGUAGACUAGGGACCGGGAGAGGUGAGAGGUACUCCAGGGGUAGGAGUGAAAUCCUGUAAUCCUUGGG